GCCCGGGUGGCUCAGUCGGUUAAGCGUCUGACUUCGGCUCAGGUCAUGAUCUCACGGUUUGUGAGUUCGAGCCCCACGUCGGGCU
rnacentral:tRNA from 1 species